rnacentral:rRNA from 1 species
UGGCGAACGGGUGAGUAACACGUGGGCAAUCUGCCCUGCACUCUGGGACAAGCCCUGGAAACGGGGUCUAAUACCGGAUAACACUGUCCCCCUCAUGGGGGGCGGUUGAAAGCUCCGGCGGUGCAGGAUGAGCCCGCGGCCUAUCAGCUUGUUGGUGGGGUAAUGGCCUACCAAGGCGACGACGGGUAGCCGGCCUGAGAGGGCGACCGGCCACACUGGGACUGAGACACGGCCCAGACUCCUACGGGAGGCAGCAGUGGGGAAUAUUGCACAAUGGGCGAAAGCCUGAUGCAGCGACGCCGCGUGAGGGAUGACGGCCUUCGGGUUGUAAACCUCUUUCAGCAGGGAAGAAGCGAAAGUGACGGUACCUGCAGAAGAAGCGCCGGCUAACUACGUGCCAGCAGCCGCGGUAAUACGUAGGGCGCAAGCGUUGUCCGGAAUUAUUGGGCGUAAAGAGCUCGUAGGCGGUCUGUCACGUCGGGUG